GUAAUCCUUCGGGGCGGGGUGAAAUUCCCCACCGGCGGUGAUGAGCAGAGGCUCUUAGUCCGUGACCCGCGUUCGUUUUGAGGCGGUGGAUUCGGUGAAAUUCCGAAGCCGACAGUGACAGUCUGGAUGGGAGAAGGAUCAC
rnacentral:ncRNA from 2 species